UACGUAGGGUGCAAGCGUUAAUCGGAUUCACUGGGCGUAAAGGGUGCGUAGGCGGUCGGGUAAGUCUGAUGUGAAAUCUCACAGCUUAACUGUGAAACUGCAUUGGAUACUAUCCGGCUCGAGGAAUGGAGGGGAGACUGGAAUACUUGGUGUAGCAGUGAAAUGCGUAGAUAUCAAGUGGAACACCAGUGGCGAAGGCGAGUCUCUGGACAUUUUCCUGACGCUGAGGCACGAGAGCCAGGGGAGGCAAACGGG
rnacentral:rRNA from 1 species